CAAACUGGGAUUAGAUACCCCACUAUGCCUAGCCCUAAAUCUAGAUACCUCCCAUCACACAUGUAUCCGCCUGAGAACUACGAGCACAAACGCUUAAAACUCUAAGGACUUGGCGGUGCCCCAAACCCACCUAGAGGAGCCUGUUCUAUAAUCGAUAAUCCACGAUUCACCCAACCACCCCUUGCCAGCACAGCCUACAUACCGCCGUCGCCAGCCCACCUCUAAUGAAAGAACAACAGUGAGCUCAAUAGCCCCUCGCUAAUAAGACAGGUCAAGGUAUAGCCUAUGGGGUGGGAGAAAUGGGCUACAUUUUCUAACAUAGAACAAACGAAAAAGGACGUGAAACCCGCCCUUAGAAGGAGGAUUUAGCAGUAAAGUGAGAUCAUACCCCCUAAGCUCACUUUAAGACGGCUCUGAGGCACGUACACACCGCCGGUCACCCUCA
rnacentral:rRNA from 1 species